GAUGAACGCUGGCGGCGUGCCUAAUACAUGCGAGUCGAGCGGUAAGGCCCCUUCGGGGGUACACGAGCGGCGGACGGCAGAGUAACGCGUAGGAACAUACCCCAAAGUGAGGGAUAGCCCACCGAAAGGUGGAUUAAUACCGCAUGUGGUCUUCGGAUUAAAGCUUUAUGCGCUUUGGGAAUGGCCUGCGUAAGAUUAGCUAGUUGGUGAGGUAAUUGCUCACCAAGGCGACGAUCUUUAGCUGGUUUGAGAGGAUGAUCAGCCUGACUGGGACUGAGACACAGCCCAGACUCCUACGGGAGGCAGCAGUAGGGAAUUUUCCACAAUGGACGAAAGUCUGAUGGAGCAACGCCGCGUGCAGGAUGAAGGCCUUCGGGUUGUAAACUGCUUUUAUUUGGGAAGAUUAUGACGGUACCAAAUGAAUAAGGAUCGGCUAACUACGUGCCAGCAGCCGCAGUAA
rnacentral:rRNA from 1 species